rnacentral:rRNA from 1 species
GACGAACGCUGGCGGCGUGCUUAACACAUGCAAGUCGAACGGAAAGGCCCUGCUUUUGUGGGGUGCUCGAGUGGCGAUCGGGUGAGUAACACGUGAGUAACCUGCCCUUGACUUUGGGAUAACUUCAGGAAACUGGGGCUAAUACCGUAUAGGAGCUCCUGCUGCAUGGUGGGGGUUGGAAAGUUUCGGCGGUUGGGGAUGGACUCGCGGCUUAUCAGCUUGUUGGUGGGGUAGUGGCUUACCAAGGCUUUGACGGGUAGCCGGCCUGAGAGGGUGACCGGCCACAUUGGGACUGAGAUACGGCCCAGACUCCUACGGGAGGCAGCAGUGGGGAAUAUUGCACAAUGGGCGGAAGCCUGAUGCAGCAACGCCGCGUGCGGGAUGACGGCCUUCGGGUUGUAAACCGCUUUCGCCUGUGACGAAGCGUGAGUGACGGUAAUGGGUAAAGAAGCACCGGCUAACUACGUG